rnacentral:misc_RNA from 1 species
CCGUCGUCGCGCCGGGAGACGUGUUGCAACUGGUUUCCGGCUUGUCAGCCGACGGUGCCGCGGUCUGUGCGAAGACUGGCGUGGUUGUGAAUACGCCCACAAGAAUCGCUGCUGUGAAACGAUUAAUCAUUUUGAGGCUCCUGUAGGCGGAAAAUAUCAAGCAUCCGAACGUGGCAAACGCCCUGGUACCGCUAUUGUUCCGUCGCAACCGCCGCGGCGCACUGACGCGAUGCCUUUAUUGAG